AGAAGGGGGAUGCGACCCGGGCGGCUGAAACUGUGGAACGGUGAGGAGGCCAGUCUUUCGUUCAAUUCUAGUGUUCCUAGGUGUACUAAGAGUCGGGGUGGUAGCAAGGCUCCAAACUUUACUCAUGAAUACCUGUCUCCGCUCACGACAUAAUUCAGGACCUAAUUGCAAAAUACAGCCUUGAAGAAGAGACUCAAGGGAAACUCUGGAGUACCACUGAGCACAAGUAUGAAAACCUCAAAUUAGCCCAAUCUCCAUAUUUGACAUGAAGAAAAUCAGGCCAGGACUGAUUAAGUAACUUGUCCAGGACUACAGAAGAAGUCACCAAGUGGCCUCGAGUUCCUGGUUGCAUUCAUCCUUACUGCUAGAAGUUCUGGCAGAAAAAAAGGAGGAUACAGCCAGAAGAAAGCCGU